UGAGGAAUAUUGGUCAAUGGGCGAGAGCCUGAACCAGCCAAGUAGCGUGCAGGAUGACGGCCCUAUGGGUUGUAAACUGCUUUUAUAUGGGAAUAAAGUGAGGGACGUGUCCCUUAUUGCAUGUACCAUAUGAAUAAGGACCGGCUAAUUCCGUGCCAGCAGCCGCGGUAAUACGGAAGGUCCAGGCGUUAUCCGGAUUUAUUGGGUUUAAAGGGAGCGUAGGCUGUUUGUUAAGCGUGUUGUGAAAUGUAAGAGCUCAACUUUUAGAUUGCAGCGCGAACUGGCAGACUUGAGUGGGCACAACGUAGGCGGAAUUCAUGGUGUAGCGGUGAAAUGCUUAGAUAUCAUGACGAACUCCGAUUGAGAAGGCAGCUUACGGGAGCGCAACUGACGCUAAAGCUCGAAGGUGCGGGUAUCGAACAGG
rnacentral:rRNA from 1 species